rnacentral:rRNA from 1 species
GAACGCUGGCGGCGUGCCUAAUACAUGCAAGUCGAGCGAACAGAUGAGGAGCUUGCUCCUCUGACGUUAGCGGCGGACGGGUGAGUAACACGUGGAUAACCUACCUAUAAGACUGGGAUAACUUCGGGAAACCGGAGCUAAUACCGGAUAAUAUAUUGAACCGCAUGGUUCAAUAGUGAAAGACGGUUUUGCUGUCACUUAUAGAUGGAUCCGCGCCGCAUUAGCUAGUUGGUAAGGUAACGGCUUACCAAGGCGACGAUGCGUAGCCGACCUGAGAGGGUGAUCGGCCACACUGGAACUGAGACACGGUCCAGACUCCUACGGGAGGCAGCAGUAGGGAAUCUUCCGCAAUGGGCGAAAGCCUGACGGAGCAACGCCGCGUGAGUGAUGAAGGUCUUCGGAUCGUAAAACUCUGUUAUUAGGGAAGAACAAAUGUGUAAGUAACUAUGCACGUCUUGACGGUACCUAAUCAGAAAGCCACGGCUAACUACGUG